rnacentral:rRNA from 1 species
UACGGAGGAUGCAAGCGUUAUCCGGAUUUAUUGGGCGUAAAGCGUCCGCAGGUGGCUAUUCAAGUCUGCUGUCAAAGCUCGGAGCUUAACUCCGAAUCGGCGGUGGAAACUGAACAGCUAGAGUGCAGUAGGGGUAGAGGGAAUUCCCAGUGUAGCGGUGAAAUGCGUAGAGAUUGGGAAGAACACCGGUGGCGAAGGCGGUUCUCUGGGACGGUACUGACGCUGAGACGCGAAAGCGUGGGGAGCGAACAGG